rnacentral:rRNA from 1 species
UAGGGAAUCUUCGGCAAUGGGGGCAACCCUGACCGAGCAACGCCGCGUGAGUGAAGAAGGUUUUCGGAUCGUAAAGCUCUGUUGUAAGAGAAGAACGUGUGUGAGAGUGGAAAGUUCACACAGUGACGGUAACUUACCAGAAAGGGACGGCUAACUACGUGCCAGCAGCCGCGGUAAUACGUAGGUCCCGAGCGUUGUCCGGAUUUAUUGGGCGUAAAGCGAGCGCAGGCGGUUUAAUAAGUCUGAAGUUAAAGGCAGUGGCUUAACCAUUGUUCGCUUUGGAACAUGUUAAACUUGAGUGCAGAAGGUGAGAGUGGAAUUCCAUGUGUAGCGGUGAAAUACGUAGAUAUAUGGAGGAACACCGGUGGCGAAAGCGGCUCUCUGGUCUGUAACUGACGCUGAGGCUCGAAAGCGGGGGGAGCAAACAGG